rnacentral:RNase_P_RNA from 1 species
GAAGCAAGCCAGACAGUCGCUGGCAGGGGCAGCAAUGUCACUGCGGGAGGAAGGUCCGGACUCCAUAGAGCGGGGUGACGGUUAACGGCCGUCCGCUGAAAGGCCGCAAGGCUAUAAGGCGAGGAAUAGGGCCACAGAGACGAGCGUAUUAAGUUACGGUGAAACGCGGUAACCUCCACCUGGUGCAAUUUCAAAUAGGCACGCGAUGAUGUUGCUCGCGGAGCGUGCGGGUAGAAAGCUUGAGCGGCGGAGUAAUCCGUCGCCUAGAGGAAUGGCUGUCAUAGCACUGACUGUAAGGAAGGUGCCGUAACAAAAUCCGGCCUAUCGGCUUGCUUCACUG